GAGUUCACCUUGCUACCAUCGAGGAAAUCCAGAACAACUGCUCAAGGACAUGUCUGAAUGAGUCACUGAGCCAUGGCUCUGUGAGGUUUUUGGCGUUAAUAUGCCAUGGUUUCUCCUGGACCUGGAGAAUAGAACUGAGUCAGAUUAAAGCAAACGGCCAAAAACAAGGACAAAGUCCAAGGUAUAUCAAGAUUUUAACUGUGAGGAAAUAAAACAACAAAAG